GUGCUCGCUUCAGCAGCACAUAUACUAAAAUUGGAACGAUACAGAGAAGAUUAGCAUGGCCCUUGACAGGAUGACACGCAAAUUCGUGAAGCAUUCCAUAUUUUU
ensembl:snRNA U6 U6 spliceosomal RNA